CCUACGGGUGGCAGCAGUGGGGAAUAUUGGACAAUGGGCGCAAGCCUGAUCCAGCAAUGCCGCGUGGGUGAAGAAGGCCUUCGGGUUGUAAAGCCCUUUUGUACGGGAAGAAAACUCAUUCGUUAAUACCGGGUGAGGAUGACGGUACCGUAAGAAUAAGCACCGGCUAACUUCGUGCCAGCAGCCGCGGUAAUACGAAGGGUGCAAGCGUUAAUCGGAAUUACUGGGCGUAAAGCGUGCGUAGGCGGUCUGUUAAGUCCGAUGUGAAAGCCCUGGGCUCAACCUGGGAAUGGCAUUGGAUACUGGCAGGCUAGAGUGCGGUAGAGGGGUGCGGAAUUCCCGGUGUAGCGGUGAAAUGCGUAGAGAUCGGGAGGAACAUCCGUGGCGAAGGCGGCACCCUGGACCAGCACUGACGCUGAGGCACGAAAGCGUGGGGAGCAAACAGGAUUAGAUACCCCAGUAGUC
rnacentral:rRNA from 1 species